AGAAUCAACGCUGGCGGCGUGCCUAACACAUGCAAGUCGAACGAGAAAGUGGAGCAAUCCAUGAGUAAAGUGGCGCACGGGUGAGUAACACGUGACUAACCUACCCUUGAGUGGGGAAUAACUUCGGGAAACCGAGGCUAAUACCGCAUAACACCUACGGGUCAAAGGAGCAAUUCGCUUAAGGAGGGGGUCGCGGCAGAUUAGUUAGUUGGCGGGGUAAUGGCCCACCAAGACGGUGAUCUGUAUCCGGCCUGAGAGGGCGCACGGACACACUGGAACUGAAACACGGUCCAGACUCCUACGGGAGGCAGCAGUGGGGAAUUUGCGCAAUGGGGGAAACCCUGACGCAGCAACGCCGCGUGGAGGAUGAAGUCCCUUGGGACGUAAACUCCUUUCGAUCGGGACGAUUAUGACGGUACCGGAAGAAGAACGCCCCGGCUAACUUCGUGCCAGCAGCCGC
rnacentral:rRNA from 1 species